rnacentral:tRNA from 1 species
AGGAGGAUAGUUUAAUGGUAAAGCAGUGGUUUCCAAAACCAAAUUUGGGGGUUCGAGUCCCUCUCUUUCUG